rnacentral:lncRNA from 1 species
UGACAAGACAAUUUAAACAUGUAAUACAUCAAAAGAAAGCAUUAAGUGAUUUAAGAUUUCUUCUAUUUCUAAAGAAAAAUUUACUUUCAUUUUGGAAGAAAAGUAGGUUUUGAAGACUCCAGGUCCUGUAUUUCUCCCUCUCCAGUCUGCUCUGCUAAUGACAUCAAGUUGGCUCCCCCUGUGUUUUUUUUAAGGGGUUUUGGGGGGGUUUGUGGGGUUUUUUUUUAAGGAAGAAAGCAUAAGUAACAUUGACUGAAAAUCCUUAAUGAUGGAAGCAAAGGAAAUGAUAGGCUGGGCGAAGAGCCAUCCAUCCCUGGUGUCUCAUGGUGGCUGUCUGUGAGUGGCCAUGCCCUAGGAGUUCCCUCUUCCGUGCUGCACACGCCUGCCCCUGUGCCGUAGUCCGUAGUCCGUGAGUCCUGGAAGAUGCCGCUGCAGCUGUCUCUGGAGCCAUCUUGCAAAGGCCCGAGGCAAUGUGCAAUAUUGCUGUGCCAUGAGUCUGGAUGUGGCUGACCCAGAGAGCCUCACAGGAUACAAGAAUUCAACAGGGGGGACACACAGGGGAGAGCAGGAAUGAUUUUUUUAACUGGAACCUCAGCCAAAUGUCAACAGAAUUUUGGUCCCAGGCCUACUUGAUCUUGUCCAUUUGGCACUGCUGGAGGAAUAACAAGUUUCUUCCCAUCAUGCACCUUUCUGGGAUACAUCAUGACAGAGAAAUCUCAAAGCCCAGGUCAAUUAUAACAGAAGAUGUGUAG